ACAGAAGGAAAGUUAAGAAAACUAACUGACUUUGCUGAAUUGUCCUAUUAUUUUUCCCCUAAACACUGCAGGUAUCAGCAGAGACCCUAAUAAACAUAUAUUGACAGAAGAGGUUUCUCUGCUUGUAUAGCUAUACCAUAUUGCCAACCACCAUUUUGGAAAUCAACAAAAAGCUCUCCUAUUGGAAGAGCUGCAUCCACAACAGAUGUUUUGUCCACAGACCUGCAUCAGCAGAAGCACAGGCUUUUCAUAUUUAUAGCCAACACAGCUGUGCCCACAAAACUGUCAUGAAAACCUGCACUCCGGCUGUGAGACCAAGGUAGGAAGGAAUGCAUCAGAUGGGUUCUCUGUUGGGAAUUUGCUGUUUACUCAUCUUAUUUCAAGCCCUCCCUCACCCACCUUGUAUCUAUACUUGCAGCUCACAGUUAAAUAGUCAUAUCUCUAGGUUGUA